rnacentral:rRNA from 1 species
CGGGACGGGUGAGUAACGCGUGGAUAACCUGCCUCACACUGGGGGAUAACAGUUAGAAAUGACUGCUAAUACCGCACGAGCGCACAGUACCGCAUGGUACGGUGUGAAAAACUCCGGUGGUGUGAGAUGGAUCCGCGUCUGAUUAGCCAGUUGGCGGGGUAACGGCCCACCAAAGCGACGAUCAGUAGCCGACCUGAGAGGGUGACCGGCCACAUUGGGACUGAGACACGGCCCAA